UGCCAGACUCCUACGGGAGGCAGCAGUGAGGAAUAUUGGUCAAUGGUCGGGAGACUGAACCAGCCAAGCCGCGUGAGGGAUGAAGGUACAGAGUAUCGUAAACCUCUUUUGUCAGGGAACAAAGGCGGGGACGUGUCCCCGGAUGAGUGUACCUGAAGAAAAAGCAUCGGCUAACUCCGUGCCAGCAGCCGCGGUAAUACGGAGGAUGCGAGCGUUAUCCGGAUUUAUUGGGUUUAAAGGGGGCGUAGGCGGGACCUUAAGUCAGCGGUAAAAUUGCGGUGCUCAACGCCGUAGAGCCGUUGAAACUGGGGCUCUUGAGUGAGCGAGAAGUAUGCGGAAUGCGUGGUGUAGCGGUGAAAUGCAUAGAUAUCACGCAGAACCCCGAUUGCGAAGGCAGCAUACCGGCGCUCAACUGACGCUGAGGCACGAAAGUGCGGGUAUCGAACAGGAUUAGAAACCCCUGUA
rnacentral:rRNA from 1 species